AUCAAAAUUAAAAGGAAACACACUUGACCUCAGCUGGAAGUUGGUGCAUUUAAAAUAGGGGAUGGUGCUUUUUUGCAACCUGCCUAAGAAGUUUGCUAAUGCCCCUGAUUUAUUAUAGAGGCCGAGAGAAACAGCUUUGCACAGCAGGAUAAGCAUGCUUUUGACUUGGUUCCAGGUAUGACAAUAGCUGAGAGCCAUCAAAAGUAGGAAGAAAAUAGCUGCCAACGGUUCUGUCUGACUUGGAUGAUCCUGAUUUUCCUCUUGCUCUGUCAAACCCUGCUCGCUCAGUCCUUUCUGAUGGAAUUGAGGACAGAACGUCCUUCUGAGAGCAGCUUUUGUUGCUAUCAGCAUUGAACUGUGCUUUCCUUGUAGGAUAUGCAGAGUCCUGGGAAGAGAACUCUCUCUCCUCUGCCUUCCCGUGCUUCUCCAAGAGGGAAUGCUGAGUACUGAGCACAGGCAGUGGGCUGGACCUCUGAGUUUCACAGGAUGCCAGCAGACAGCAGCAAUAUUCACAGACAAUAUUCAGGAAAAAGGUUUGCCAUUGGAAGUCACUGAAGAAAUAUUGUCUCCUGCUCCCGACUAUGGCAACUGGAAUUAGCAGACCAAUCCUUUUCUUCCCUUCUCCUUGAAAAGGACAAUGGGAGGCCAGGACACCACCUUUAUCUGAAGGCUUAUAUUGAAACUGAACAAGCAGUCCAUGAUUUUGAAGGAGAGGAUGAGGGCUUUUUCCCUUACCUGAGGAAUCCGCUCUUGAACUGAAGACCACAGCCUUUAAAAGCCUGGAGUGGUGAUGCCUGUCUCUCAGAAAUCUAUGCAGUUGCAAAGUUCCUCCUGGAGUCAGAAAACAAUGCACCCAGCUAUGCCAAUCCAUGGAAAUCACUGGUUGUGUUUAUCCAGCAAUUAAAGGGGGAUUACAGCCGCUUCAGAGCUCGGCAUCCCGUCCCUCCCCUGCCACACCGGGAGCCUCAAAGCCGCAUUGUUCCCGCAGCCGCCGGCGGCAGCCCGGGCCAAGGAGGGAUGGGAGAGGGGAGCUCCUGCCGGGAGCAGGUACAGACAACCGACAAACAGCGAAACAAAGGGCAAAGCGCGGGGCAAGGAACCGGAGGCUCGCUCUCUUCUUCCCGAGGUGUUUCCCUGCCCAUCCUCGGUACGGGGCGGCAGGAAGGGAAACGUCCCCGCCAAGCCCCCCUGGCAAUCAUCCCGCGGGGGAUGUGCCGGGCAGGGCUGUCCCGGUGCUGGGAGCGCUGAUUGUGCGGGAAGGGAUCCCUUUGGAGGCGGCAUCCCCAGGGCCAGGGCCCCUGCUCUGCUCGGAGCUCCGGUUGGGGUGAAGCAGGGGCAAACGUGUGUCCCUUUGAGCAGGAUCCCUUUGAGAGAAUCCCUUUGGGAGGUUCCCUUUGAGCAGGAUC